GAUAAACGCUGGCGGCGUGCCUAAUACAUGCAAGUCGUGCGGUAAGGCCCCUUCGGGGGUACACGAGCGGCGGACGGCAGAGUAACGCGUAGGAACGUACCCCAAAGUGAGGGAUAACUGCUCGAAAGAGUAGCUAAUACCGCAUAUGAUCUUCGGAUUAAAGCAGCAAUGCGCUUUGGGAACGGCCUGCGUCCGAUUAGCUAGUUGGUAGAGUAAUAGCCUACCAAGGCGACGAUCGGUAGCUGGUCUGAGAGGAUGAUCAGCCUGACUGGAACUGAGACACGGUCCAGACUCCUACGGGAGGCAGCAGUAGGGAAUUUUGGACAAUGGGCGAAAGCCUGAUCCAGCCAUUCCGCGUGCAGGAUGAAGGCCCUCGGGUUGUAAACCUCUUUCAGCACCGACGAAGCGCAAGUGACGGUAGGUGCAGAAGAAGGACCGGCCAACUACGUGCCAGCCGCCGCCGCAG
rnacentral:rRNA from 1 species